rnacentral:tRNA from 6 species
GCGGCUGUAGCUCAGUUGGCUAGAGCGUCUGCUUGCCAUGCAGAAGGUCGAGAGUUCGAGUCUCUUCAGCCGCU